rnacentral:rRNA from 1 species
GAUGAACGCUGGCGGCGUGCCUAAUACAUGCAAGUCGAGCGAACGGACGAGAAGCUUGCUUCUCUGAUGUUAGCGGCGGACGGGUGAGUAACACGUGGAUAACCUACCUAUAAGACUGGGAUAACUUCGGGAAACCGGAGCUAAUACCGGAUAAUAUUUUGAACCGCAUGGUUCAAAAGUGAAAGACGGUCUUGCUGUCACUUAUAGAUGGAUCCGCGCUGCAUUAGCUAGUUGGUAAGGUAACGGCUUACCAAGGCAACGAUGCAUAGCCGACCUGAGAGGGGGAACCGCCACACCGGAAAUGAGAACAGGGCCAGACUCCUACGGGAGGCAGGAGUAGGGAAUCCUCCGCAAUGGGCGAAAGCCUGACGGAGCAACGGCGCGUGAGUGAUGAAGGUCUUCGGAUCGUAAAACUCUGUUAUUAGGGAAGAACAUAUGCGUAAGUAACUGUGCACAUCUUGACGGUACCUAAUCAGAAAGCCACGGCUAACUACGU